rnacentral:lncRNA from 1 species
GUAGUUUGCUACGGGACAUCAAACAUAGUUAGACUGCAAUAGCGUAGACGCGGUGUCUUGGCUAAGGGUUCUCCUUCGUUUUCCUUAUAUCCCAAGGGCUGCUAGAGGUAGGCUAUAGGUGGUGACAACCCUAUUGGUCCUUUGUAAUCCUCCACGUUCGGAUAUAGCACAGAGCUAUUGGCCAGAGGCGCCUGCUCAUUCACGGUAAGCCGGUUCCCGAAGCGAGUAUUUGACCCCGAGAGAUCGACCUUUAACUCACCCAUAGAGCUACCUUUAGGAAUCCUCUCUACCCUCGCCACCUAUCUUGGUGUGAUCUUGGAUCGACUAAACUAGGAGUUAGUACACACACGUUCCCUUGGAAUACUCUGAGGUGAAAGCUACAACGGUAUCCGCGCACUUGUGGAUUUAUUAGCAUUCCUUAAAUAUACCAACAAGCUUUCUGGCGUCGUUGCUAGGGAACGGUUGUCGUAUCUUUCUUAUUACCUAGUCAUCCUCGUAUCUUUUUAGUUUUCUUUCUUCUACCUUUACCCCCGCUAUCAUGGAGCAACCUUCUAUCCAAAACCUCUACUCCUAGGGGCGAGUUCUUUGAGCCACCCCCAUCUGAACACCCAAUUCUUACAUCCG